AUUGAACGCUGGCGGCAGGCCUAACACAUGCGAGUCGAGCGGAUGAAGGGAGCUUGCUCCUGGAUUCAGCGGCGGACGGGUGAGUAAUGCCUAGGAAUCUGCCUGGUAGUGGGGGAUAACGUCCGGAAACGGGCGCUAAUACCGCAUACGUCCUGAGGGAGAAAGUGGGGGAUCUUCGGACCUCACGCUAUCAUAUGAGCCUAGGUCGGAUUAGCUAGUUGGUGGGGUAAAGGCCUACCAAGGCGACGAUCCGUAACUGGUCUGAGAGGAUGAGCAGUCACACUGGAACUGAGACACGGUCCAGACUCCUACGGGAGGCAGCAGUGGGGAAUAUUGGACAAUGGGCGAAAGCCUGAUCCAGCCAUGCCGCGUGUGUGAAGAAGGUCUUCGGAUUGUAAAGCACUUUAAGUUGGGAGGAAGGGCAGUAAGUUAAUACCUUGCUGUUUUGACGUUACCCACAGAAUAAGCACCGGCUAACUUCGUG
rnacentral:rRNA from 1 species